AACGAACGCUGGCGGCAGGCCUAACACAUGCAAGUCGAGCGAACAGACGAGGAGCUUGCUCCUCUGACGUUAGCGGCGGACAGGUGAGUAACACGUGGAUAACCUACCUAUAAGACUGGGAUAACUUCGGGAAACCGGAGCUAAUACCGGAUAAUAUAUUGAACCGCAUGGUUCAAUAGUGAAAGACGGUUUUGCUGUCACUUAUAGAUGGAUCCGCGCCGCAUUAGCUAGUUGGUAAGGUAACGGCUUACCAAGGCAACGAUGCGUAGCCGACCUGAGAGGGUGAUCGGCCACACUGGAACUGAGACACGGUCCAGACUCCUACGGGAGGCAGCAGUAGGGAAUCUUCCGCAAUGGGCGAAAGCUUGACGGAGCAACGCCGCGUGAGUGAUGAAGGUCUUCGGAUCGUAAAACUCUGUUAUUAGGGAAGAACAAAUGUGUAAGUAACUAUGCACGUCUUGACGGUACCUAAUCAGAAAGCCACGGCUAACUACGUG
rnacentral:rRNA from 1 species